rnacentral:rRNA from 1 species
CGCCUUGCCAGCCCGCUCAGAAACUCAAAUGAAGUUGACGGGGGCCCGCACAAGCGGUGGAGUAUGUGGUUUAAUUCGAUGCAACGCGAAGAACCUUACCUGGUCUUGACAUCCCGGAGACCCUUAGGAAACUAGGGGGUGCUUCCAUCUGGAAGAAUCUGGAGACAGGUGCUGCAUGGCUGUCGUCAGCUCGUGUCGUGAGAUGUUGGGUUAAGUCCCGCAACGAGCGCAACCCUUGCCUUUAGUUGCCAGCAGUUCGGCUGGGCACUCUAAAGGGACUGCCGGUGUUAAACCGGAGGAAGGUGGGGAUGACGUCAAGUCCUCAUGGCCUUUACGGCCUGGGCUACACACGUGCUACAAUGGUCGGUACAAAGGGUUGCCAAGCCGCGAGGUGGAGCUAAUCCCAUAAAACCGAUCGUAGUCCGGAUCGCAGUCUGCAACUCGACUGCGUGAAGUCGGAAUCGCUAGUAAUCGUGAAUCAGAAUGUCACGGUGAAUACGUUCCCGGGCCUU